rnacentral:rRNA from 1 species
GGGGGGAGCAAGCGUUGUUCGGAUUUACUGGGCGUAAAGGGCGCGUAGGCGGCCUCCGCAAGUCAGUUGUGAAGUCUCCGGGCUUAACUCGGAAAGGUCAACUGAUACUGCGGGGCUAGAGUGCGGAAGGGGCAACUGGAAUUCUUGGUGUAGCGGUGAAAUGCGUAGAUAUCAAGAGGAACACCUGCGGCGAAGGCGGGUUGCUGGGCCGACACUGACGCUGAGGCGCGAAAGCUAGGGGAGCGAACGGGAUUAGAUACCCCGGUAGUCCUAGCCUUAAACGAUGAAUGCUUGGUGUCUGGGGUUAUAUAGUCCCCGGGUGCCGUCGCUAACGCUUUAAGCAUUCCGCCUGGGGAGUACGGUCGCAAGACUG